CUACGGGGCGCUGCAGUGAGGAAUAUUGCGCAAUGGGGGAAACCCUGACGCAGCAACGCCGCGUGAGUGAUGAAGGCCUUCGGGUCGUAAAACUCUGUCAAGUGGGAAGAACCUAUGUAAGGUUAAUACCCUUAUGUACUGACGGUACCACUGAAGGAAGCACCGGCUAACUCCGUGCCAGCAGCCGCGGUAAUACGGAGGGUGCAAGCGUUAUUCGGAAUUAUUGGGCGUAAAGGGCGCGUAGGCGGUUUUGUAAGUCAGAUGUGAAAGCCCGGGGCUUAACCUCGGAAGUGCAUUUGAUACUGCAAGACUUGAGUAUGGGAGGGGGAAGUGGAAUUCCUGGUGUAGAGGUGAAAUUCGUAGAUAUCAGGAGGAACACCAGUGGCGAAGGCGACUUCCUGGACCAAUACUGACGCUGAGGCGCGAAGGCGUGGGGAGCAAACAGGAUUAGAUACCCUUGUAGUC
rnacentral:rRNA from 1 species